rnacentral:rRNA from 1 species
UACGUAGGGGGCUAGCGUUGUUCGGAAUUACUGGGCGUAAAGCGCACGUAGGCGGAUAUUUAAGUCAGGGGUGAAAUCCCAGAGCUCAACUCUGGAACUGCCUUUGAUACUGGGUAUCUCGAGUAUGGAAGAGGUGAGUGGAAUUCCGAGUGUAGAGGUGAAAUUCGUAGAUAUUCGGAGGAACACCAGUGGCGAAGGCGGCUCACUGGUCCAUUACUGACGCUGAGGUGCGAAAGCGUGGGGAGCGAACAGG